AAGAUCAUACUUCACAGGAUCAUUUCUGUAGUAUGUCUUCACAUUAUCUCUACUCAAUUGUAGAGUCAAUGUAACCACGAUGAGGAGCUGCAGUGAGGUUUUCUGAGCGUGAGGUAGGUUUCAAGUUUUCACUUGGAAAAUUGGAACCAACGAUGAUCGUUCAACCAAGUCGCUUGCGACAUGGGUAUGGAAACUUCACAUGCUGAGUGGU